rnacentral:rRNA from 1 species
CAGCCGCCGCGGGAAUACGAAGGGUGCAAGCGUUAAUCGGAAUUACUGGGCGUAAAGCGUGCGUAGGCGGUGAGUUAAGUCUGUUGUGAAAUCCCCGGGCUCAACCUGGGAAUGGCAAUGGAUACUGGCAAGCUAGAGUGUGUCAGAGGAUGGUGGAAUUCCCGGUGUAGCGGUGAAAUGCGUAGAUAUGCGGAGGAACACCGAUGGCGAAGGCAGCCCCCUGGGCCAAUACUGACGCUCACGCACGAAAGCGUGGGGAGCAAACAGGAUUAGAUACCCCCGUAGUCCCUGUCUCUUAUAC